GAUCCUGGCUCAGGAUGAACGCUGGCGGCGUGCUUAACAUAUGCAAGUCGAGCGAAGCACUUAAGUUUGAUUCUUCGGAUGAAGACUUUUGUGACUGAGCGGCGGACGGGUGAGUAACGCGUGGGUAACCUGCCUCAUACAGGGGGAUAACAGUUAGAAAUGGCUGCUAAUACCGCAUAAGACCACAGUACUGCAUGGUACAGUAGGUAAAACGUCCGGUGGUAUGAGAGUCGGACCCGCG
rnacentral:rRNA from 1 species